rnacentral:misc_RNA from 1 species
AAUUGAUUGAGUUGGUUCGA